GAAAAUUGCGACACGGCGUCCAAUUUCGUUUGUUAUAUUUUUUACGUCAAGGAUAUUGAAGGAGCCGCUGUUAUUUUACAAAGCAUAGGACAGGGAUUCUACAGGACCCAUUUUGCCGUUUAAUAAGUGUCCCACGGGAUGCGUUGUAUCUCCAAAUAAUCAAAAUCUCAUGUAGAAACCUUUUUAAAAUAAACUGCCACCCGAAAAGUGAGGUUGACCCUAAUGUUUUGUCGUUACAAGUGUUGAAUUUUAUUUUUUAAAUAAAUAAAUACAGUAAUGGAA